ACAUCCCUCACCUGUGACAUUCUCGCCUCCACUCUCUCCGUGCCUUAAGGCCCACGUCUUCCUGGUUCCCGUCCUACCCUCAUUCCAUCCUCAGACCCCUUUCCCUCUAACCUUCAUGGCCACCCCCCUCCAGGCUUCCUCAUCCCUUUACUCGCUGGACGCAGGAAACAGCGUCACUUCAUUUUGAGAAGCCGUAGUCUAUCGGCCGAGCACCAGUGGGAGCACCUGGAAUCCAUACCAAGUUAUACGAUGUUUUUCAGGAAAAUCAUUUCAUCCCCAGAAAUGGGGCGAAGGAAGAAAUUUUAGCAAGGAGGGAAAGGAAAGAAGAACAUGAAUUAGAAUUAGAAUUUUUUUUUCCAAAAAAUCGUGGUCCUUUAUUAAAACACGGAGGGAGGCGCUUGAGUACAGGUGCUUCCUAGUGAUGGAAGGGAGGGGGCAGGGCUCCGCCAUUCACUUCCGGGAGAGGGGACCGCCCCCCUCUUCCCCGCCCCCACCCCAGAGAGGGCACCUAGCAGGCGAUGGAGUCCAAAGCCCUGGGGGUCCUGCCGGACAAAGGCGUCCUUUCUUCAGGGGAUAGAAGCCCUCUCUCUCCAGCCUCAGGACCAAAGAGAAGCAGUAGCCGCAGACGGUAGGCUCUUUGGAGGCAGGAACCAAUCCUGCUAAAAAGGAUUCCUUGCACACGUGUCACAUGACUGAUCAUAAUCACAGCAGAAGGAAACUCAAGAAAUCACCCAUAUAGUCCCUGCCCUUGGGACCAAUGAGGGGAGCUGUAUUGAGAACACUUGUUUUCAGACUACCUAAUCCUGGUUUUUCAACCAGGCAGUGCCACGAGUCAGCCCCAGUUUUGCUCAGUUAGCACAGUUAGCAAGAACCAAAACAAACCUGAUCAACUGGAUUGUAAGUCCUGAGCCUGGUUGGCCAAGAAGAUUAGGCAGAUGUUGCUGAUACAGAAUCGAAGAGUAUGCAGGCAGCUGAUCCAACACAGAAUCAAAGAGUUGGGAUGUUGUACUGGAAAUUGCAUCAGAUUUGCUGUCAAGACAUGAGUCUGAAUCUCCAUUCUCUAGUGUGGACUUUGAGCAAAUCACUCAAUUUCCCUGUGAUGCUGUUUCCUGUGACCUCAAACAGAAGACUCUAUUUCUCUCAGAUUCAAGUUCCUGUGAAAAAAUUGAAAUAUAAAGGAGUAAAGACGCUGCCUUGUCCUGCUUGCUGUCUGCUGUGCCGUGGGGGUGUUGCUUGACCUUGCUCCAGGACCUUGCUUCAGACGUAAAGCAGCAUGAGGAAGAACCUGCACCCCACCAGUGACAAUGCUGGAUCCUUAACUUCUAGGCAACUGGGAAGCUCCCAAUCAGUUCUUUUCCUACAGCUAAGGAAGUGAGGCCAGGAGAAGUCAAGUGACUCAUCCGUCCACGCUACUUUUUCUACCAUAAUACUUAUGUUGAUGCUCUUUCUAUAUACUCUAUCCCUAAGAUUUUUCCCAGAGAGGUUUGGCAAGUGAGCAUACAGUCUGAGGGGGAGACGAAGAUGAUAUCAGCCAGAGGAUAAGUUAGGGGCUCACUAACUGGAACUCAAGAGACAUGCAAAGGAAGUGAUCAGUGGGAGUGAAGGGAGAGCAAGGUGGGGAAUACGCACAAAUAAGAACAUACCUGAAGAGAUGAGGGAGAGUGAGGAGAAAGAGCAAAGGAGGCAAAGAAUUCAUCUGCUCCUACAAAGAUGUUCACAUUCCCAGAAAAGGAGCACUUGACAGAAGAAAGGAGGCUGCCGCAAACCAAUGCCAAAGUCAAAACUCAUCAGAAAAAAAGAAUUAGAAAUUAUAAGAGUUCUCCUUCAGAUUUAUUUGAAAAAAAAAAAAAA